GACGAACGCUGGCGGCGUGCUUAACACAUGCAAGUCGAACGAGGAAGCCUAGCUUGCUAGGUGGAUUAGUGGCGAACGGGUGAGUAAUACGUGAGUGACCUACCUUUGACUCUGGGAUAAGCCUGGGAAACUGGGUCUACUACCGGAUACGACCAAUCUCCGCAUGGGGUGUUGGUGGAAAGCGUUAUGGAGUGGUUUUAGAUGGGCUCACGGCCUAUCAGCUUGUUGGUGAGGUAAUGGCUUACCAAGGCGACGACGGGUAGCCGGCCUGAGAGGGUGACCGGCCACACUGGGACUGAGACACGGCCCAGACUCCUACGGGGGGCAGCAGUGGGGAAUAUUGCACAAUGGGCGCAAGCCUGAUGCAGCGACGCCGCGUGAGGGAUGAAGGCCUUCGGGUGGUAAACCUCUGUUAGCAUCGAAGAAGCGAAAGUGACGGUAGGUGCAGAGAAAGCGCCGGCUAACUACGUG
rnacentral:rRNA from 1 species